AACACAGAGGAAGAGUUUGGUCUUCAGGUGCUUCUUUUAUGGGCUUUCCAGCUAAUUCCUUCGUCAACUGCAUAUGGAAAUAGAACGGAAUAGCAAUGUUAAGCAAUGAGUCAAUAUUUUCUCGUAUUAGCAAAGAUAUUGUGAAAAUUGCUUUCAACUGACCCAAGAAAUUAGUGCUUGAUAAGCAUUAGAGUUGAAGUAAGUAUAAGAACUCCCAGCAUCAAAAACAGCAAGAAGAUUUCCAAAACCAGUCCUCUUUCCUCCAAGAACAAGUUCAGCAGCCCCAGCUGAGUAAUGUUUGCUGAGAAAAAUCUUAAAUUAGUUUAUAGAAAUAUGAAUAUCAUUACGAUUAAUGUGGAUUUGACUUGUUAAGAUCUACUUACUAAUCUCUCGACGACAUUGGAGUCCAAGCCAAUCGAGAAGAAUCAUAAACAUCUCCAAAGAAGAUGUAUCCUCCUCCUUGUGCACUCAAACAGUGUCCAACGACAUUUCUCACCAAACCCUGACCAUUCAGUUGUGAUAUCAAGCUGGAUUUGCCCCUGCCAAGGCCAAGCAUUCCAUCUACGGGGUGGUAGGAAGAAUCUGGAAAAAUCUGAUCAUAUCCGCAUCUGCAUAGAAUAACCAAAAAAGUUGUAUUAUAUAACAUGAUUUUUACUUCUGAAUAAAGGAGUAUGUGUAUGGAUAAUCAUCAUGCAACGAUGGUAUUUUUUUUGAAACACUUGUUGCAGAAAGGCUAAAUUUAGCGAGAACAUACACAUAAGCAUGUUUGAGGUUGUUUAACUUAUGACAUGUACAUAAGCUAUUUUCACCUUAUUUCCAUUAGCUCUCCAAGAUAUCUUACGAAACAAAUUUUAGAUUGUAUGAAAACAAUUUGACUUUAUUUUA